rnacentral:rRNA from 2 species
AGACCCGAAACCCGGUGAUCUAGCCAUGGGCAGGUUGAAGGUUGGGUAACACUAACUGGAGGACCGAACCGACUAAUGUUGAAAAAUUAGCGGAUGACCUGUGGCUGGGGGUGAAAGGCCAAUCAAACCGGGAGAUAGCUGGUUCUCCCCGAAAGCUAUUUAGGUAGCGCCUCGUGAACUCAUCUCCGGGGGUAGAGCACUGUUUCGGCUAGGGGGCCAUCCCGGCUUACCAACCCGAUGCAAACUGCGAAUACCGGAGAAUGUUAUCACGGGAGACACACGGCGGGUGCUAACGUCCGUCGUGAAGAGGGAAACAACCCAGACCGCCAGCUAAGGUCCCAAAGUCAUGGUUAAGUGGGAAACGAUGUGGGAAGGCCCAGACAGCCAGGAUGUUGGCUUAGAAGCAGCCAUCAUUUAAAGAAAGCGUAAUAGCUCACUGGUCGAGUCGGCCUGCGCGGAAGAUGUAACGGGGCUAAACCAUGCACCGAAGCUGCGGCAGCGAACGUAUCACUUAAAACGCUUAACAUGCAGGCGCAGCCUGCAUGUUCAAGCCACAUAAACGUCGAGUGGGCCUGAGGGCCGGCAGACGACAGGCGUUUUAAGGAUACGUUCGUUGGGUAGGGGAGCGUUCUGUAAGCCGUUGAAGGUGGCCUGUGAGGGUUGCUGGAGGUAUCAGAAGUGCGAAUGCUGACAUAAGUAACGAUAAAGCGGGUGAAAAGCCCGCUCGCCGGAAGACCAAGGGUUCCUGUCCAACGUUAAUCGGGGCAGGGUGAGUCGACCCCUAAGGCGAGGCCGAAAGGCGUAGUCGAUGGGAAACGGGUUAAUAUUCCCGUACUUGGUGUUACUGCGAAGGGGGGACGGAGAAGGCUAUGUUGGCCGGGC